CCUACGGGAGGCUGCAGUGAGGAAUAUUGGUCAAUGGGCGCGAGCCUGAACCAGCCAAGUAGCGUGAAGGAAGAAGGCCCUACGGUUUGUAAACUUCUUUUAUAAAGGAAUAAAGUGAGGCACGUGUGCCUUUUUGCAUGUACUUUAUGAAUAAGCAUCGGCUAACUCCGUGUCAGCAGCCGCGGUAAUACGGAGGAUCCGAGCGUUAUCCGGAUUUAUUGGGUUUAAAGGGAGCGUAGAUGGGUUGUUAAGUCAGCUGUGAAAGUUUGUGGCUCAACCGUAAAAUUGCAAUUGAUACUGGCAGUCUUGAGUACAGUUGAGGUAGGCGGAAUUCGUGGUGUAGCGGUGAAAUGCGUAGAUAUCACGAAGAACUCCGAUUGCGAAGGCAGCUUACUAAACUGCCACUGACAUUGAUGCUCGAAAGCGUGGGUAUCAAACAGGAUUAGAUACCCUUGUAGUC
rnacentral:rRNA from 1 species